GGGGUGGCAGGGCCGGGAGAGGCGCGGGGAGGGCAGCAGGCCGACAGACGGCUUUCGGCAGGCCGGAGGGGAGGGGCUCCUGUCUGGAGCGAAGGCUGCGCCGACUCACCUUGGCGGCGUCUGACAGCUGCACCAGCAGCAGCACCGAGAGCGCCAGGCAGGACAGGCUGAGCAAGGAGCCAAGCCGAAGGAAGCCUCCCCACACGGUCGCCAUCGCUGCCAGGCCCGGCGGUGGCCACAGCCCGGAGCCCCCGCGACCUGGUCCGGGCUGGGGCUCCGGCUCGGGCUCCGGCUCGGGCUCCUCCGCCCGCACUUCCGGCCGGGCCUCGGCGUCACCGGCCGCGCGGGGUCAGCUACGUCACCGUCCGCCCCGGAAACGGUUCCCCGUGCGCAGGCCGCGGAGGCUGCGCGGUGCCGGCGCCCGCCCCGCGAACGCUCGGGCGCGGGAAACCAAGGGGGCGCCCCUGGCGCGGCAGAGCUCCGAGGCGUGAGGCUGUCCUUCCUGGGCGCUGGAGCAGCGGCGGCUGAGGACCUGCAGGGCCCUGGGGAGUCCUCUCGCCCGGGAGACCCCCAGCAACUCCAGCGACCCCUGCGAGCCCGGAGCCGUCCGUCGCCAGGCCCCCGAGGCUGGGGCGAGCCCAAGCGCCCGGGGCGGCUUGCGAGGGCAGGUGGCAGGCGUGGAGGCGGCCACGGGACUGACGGCCGAGCCAUGCCUUCCGGGAGGCCUACCCCCAGCCGGAGGGCCGUCCUCCCCGGCACUUGGCCCCUAACCUGCAGCCCCUGCGCCUCCCGGACGCCGCUCGCGGCAGGGCUUCCAACACGCUGGCUUCGGCUUGGUCUCCCCGCUUGCCUCCCGCUGGGGCCUGACCGCCUAGACCCCAGCCUGCUGCACGAACCGCGCGUCAGCGGCGCGGCUGAGUCGGGCCGGGCUAGGUCUGGCUCCGGAACGUGUGGAAUUGGCCAAAGAACCGCCCUAGUAGCCUCCUCCGCCCGGGACUCCAGUAGUUGGGGAACUGCGGUGCUACGAUCCUAUUAAGGGCGGCUGGCCUCGAAGUCAAGAGUUGGGGGAGCGCUGACCGGCCUUGCAAGUGCGGGUCAUCCUCUGCAGACACAGAGAGGCAGAGACACAGGCAGAGGAAGAAGCAGGCUCCAUGCGGGGAGCCCGACGCGGGACUCGAUCCCGGGUCUUCAGGAUCACGCCCUGGGCUGAAGGCAGCAUUAAACCGCCGAGCCACGGGGGCUGCUCCAUGUCCAACAUGUGGCUAUAUUUCAGGAUCCUGUGAGAUCGAGUCACUGCUCUAGGACUGAACCGGUCAGGUGCCCCUCCCGUGUGAUUAUUGUUGAUGCCAGACUCUAACACAAGGUGUCUGAUACUAUGCCAGAUAUAUUUAGCCCCUUUCAAUCCCAAGUGGCAAGUGGUGCCUAGUCCCAGCCAGAAUCAGAGGGGUAGGGCUAGAUGACCUUUCAUCAAAGCCCCUGCAGGCUGUCCCUGUGGAGGUACUGUCACAUUAGUGAGAUAACAAGUCUUUGUUGUUGGUGUUUUGCUGGCCAAGAACAACUCGGAGGUCAGAAUAGUCUGUGAGGCACUGUAGAUGUGAUUGCUAAAGGCAAGUUUGGGAUCAAUUUAGGGUUCAUUGUCUAGGUCUGAUAUUUAAGGGUGUGCUCCCUCUGGCUAGAACCUCACAGGUCUUUUCUUCUUCAUGAUUGAGAGUACAGAGGCUUAAAGUGAAUAUAUAUUAAUGACUGGUGGGUCUUAUCUGCUUAUUGGAGAAUUAACAAGUGCACUCCUGGAAGCAGCAUUUUAGAGUUAGACUGUCCAGUACAGUAGCCACUAGCCACAUGUGUCAUUGAGCACUUGAAAUGUGGCUAAUCAGAAUUGAGUAAGUGCAAAAUAUACACUGGAUUUCAAAGACUUAGUACAAAAAAAAAAAAAAAAACCUUAGUAUUUUUAUAUUGCUUAA